CCCAGGAAGAGAACUGAGUUCUCAGAGGGCACAGCCAGCAUCCUCCUCUCAGGGUGAGCACCAAAGACUGGGGCCUCCCUCAUCCCUUUUCACCUCUCCAAACAAAGGCACCACCCACAUGCAAAUCCUCACUUAGGCACCCACAGGAAACCACCACACAUUUCCUUAAAUUCAGGGUCCAGCUCACAUGGGAAAUGCUCUCUGAUAGUCAUGGACCUCCUGUGCAAGAACAUGAAGCACCUGUGGUUCUUCCUCCUCCUGGUGGCAACUCCCAGAUGGGUCCUGUCCCAGGUGCAGCUGCAGGAGUCGGGCCCAGGACUGGUGAAGCCUUCGGAGACCCUGUCCCUCACCUGCGCUGUCUCUGGUUACUCCAUCAGCAGUGGUUAUGUCUGGAGCUGGAUCCGCCAGUCCCCAGGGAAGGGACUGGAGUGGAUUGGGUAUAUCUAUGGUAGUAGUACGAGCACCAACUACAACCCCUCCCUCAAGAGUCGAGUCACCAUUUCAAAAGACACGUCCAAGAACCAGUUCUCCCUGAAGCUGAGCUCUGUGACCGCCGCGGACACGGCCGUGUAUUACUGUGCGAGAGACACAGUGAGGGGAGGUGAGUGUG